rnacentral:rRNA from 1 species
ACGGAAGGCAGCAGUGAGGAAUAUUGGUCAAUGGGCGGAAGCCUGAUGCAGCGAUGCCGCGUGAGGGAAGAAGGUUUUCGGAUUGUAAACCUCUGUCAACAGGGACGAAAAUGACGGUACCUGUGAAGGAAGCUCCGGCUAACUACGUGCCAGCAGCCGCGGUAAUACGAGGGGUGCAAGCGUUGUUCGGAAUCACUGGGCGUAAAGGGAGCGCAGGCGGAGAUGCAAGCGGACUGUACAAUCCCGGGGCCCAACCCCGGACCUGCAGUCCGGACUGCACCUCUUGGAUAGUUCAGGGGCAAGCGGAAUUCCUGGUGUAGCGGUGGAAUGCGUAGAGAUCAGGAAGAACACCGAUGGCGAAGGCAGCUUGCUGGGGACUUAUCGACGCUCAUGCUCGAAAAUGCGGGUAGCAAACAGGAUUAGAUACCCUGGUA